GAGAGAGCCCAUGGCGUCUCGGGCCUAAAGAGAGGUGGAAUUUCAAGACCUCACAAGCGUCCCACUUGGCCUGGUUGGAAAAAGCCAGAGAAAAGAUAGGAAAACCGGUCACUGCCCUUUCUCUGGAAAACUUGCUCUCAUUGAUGGCUCCUCCGCCCCCUCCCCUACACAGAUACACCCUACACAAAACUCCAGGCUGGAAGAACAAAACCCCUACCUGGGCAAAAGGGGCAAGUCUACAAAGGGAGGGGACAAAAAAGUGGCAGGGAAGCUGUAGCUACUAAGCUGAAAUACUGAAAAACCGAGAAACAGAUUGGCUCUUCAUGCCGGCCUUGCUCCCCUCUCGCCCUUGAGAUUAGCAUCUUUCUUGGAAUGUCGAAAAUACCAUUAGACAGCCCCAGCUUAUGAAUAAAUAGAAUGUGACUUUCUGGGAAGCUCCCUUACACCCCCUGCCGCCCUCACUCUGCUUUAAUAUCUCUCCGUUUCUUGCUUUCUUAAAGAAGUUCUCAUCUUGAGUCUAGUAUGUACGUGUGCAUGUGGAAAUGUAUGUAUGCAGGUGGAGGUGUGUGUGUGGAGAUGGAAGUGUGUAUGUCCAGAUGGAAUUGUGCGUGUGCAUGUGGAGGUGUGUGUGCACAUGUGAAGGUGUGUGUAUAUGGAG
rnacentral:lncRNA from 1 species